rnacentral:lncRNA from 1 species
GAACCUGUACCCUCAUGGAUACUAAUCAGGUUCUUAACCUACGGAGCUACAACGGGAACUCCCCCUGAAGUGUCACUCUGUUACAGCCAUGUGCAGGCUGUGGGAAGCCCAGCCCAAGCACUAUGGGGGCAGAGCUGAGGGCUCCUAGAUGGGGUGGAAUCACCUAAAAUGGGGCACUCCUUCAGAGGAGGGGGCUGGGGAGGGCCUUAUAGGGGUCACGUGUUCCCCUCCCCUGGUGGCUUUCUGGGGAUGUGGCCCAACCCAGAACUCCAGCGUGGUGCGGUGGCUCCUCCAGGGAGGUUUGUCCUGUAGCAAACAAUGAUUCCCACAUCCUCCUAAACAGGGGUUCGAAGCUACUUCUUUCCCUGGGCUGCCCUCUCCACCCUCCUGCUCAGGUCCUCAGCCUGGCUUGGACUCUGGCUAUGGGGGAUUGGCCAGGCCAGAGGAGGACAGGCCUUCUGGUCUUGUCCUCGGUAGGGCCUAGUAGACCCAGCACAGGGGGGCAGGGAUCGGGUGAGAGUGGGGGUAAUUAUUACAGAAUGUGUGUGUGUGUGUGUGAGUGUGUGUGUGCAUUCAUUCAGAGAGCAAACGUUUCUGGGCACCUGGUGUGUGCUGGACACGGUUACAGGCAGAGGAGACAGCAGUGGACAAGAACGGGGGAUGCCGCCCUCGGGAGGCUGUUGUUCAAGCAGGGGCUGCCCGGUUGGUGUCAGUGUGCGUUGCAGAGUAUGAGUGUGGGGAGAGGGUGUGUGUGAAUAAGGGGCCUCAACAAGGACAGGGACGUGUACAUGCCAAGCUGAGUGUGUGUCUUUGGGGGUAUUCGUGGGUCCCUGGGGGUCUGUGUGAGGCAGUUUUGAUGUGUGUCUGUGCAGGCCCAGAACUGGCGGGCACAUGCGUAUCAGCCAGUUUGGGGGGCCAUGUGGCAGCCGCACCUGGCUGACUCCCAGGCUGCCAGGCUCUAUAUUUAGAAGUGACAGCUUGUAGCCCCCCCCCCUCCACACACACACACCUGCUCAGGUGCCCAGCCACUGGGGAGGGCCCAGCUGGCCUGUGGGUGAGAGUGAACCGGUCUCAGCCAGUGUUACCAGCUUUCUCGCACGCAGACCCACACUGCAAAUGGAGCAGCCUCGGGUUUCCAGUUAAGCCUGGUGGGCUGGGCUUGGGGCCCUGAUGGGUGAUGGAUGGGGAAUCCCAGCUCCCAUGGCCCGACACCUGCAGCUCUCUUAUCACCUGGAAGCACCUUACACCCUCACCCACCUUUUGCAGGAGGCCCAGUUCUGGAAUCUGGAGGAUUGCUGCUGGUCCACCAUGCCCAGCCCUGUCACCCUAAACUGGGUGACCAAGCUGGGCGGGAGGUAGAAGUAGAGGAGGGAAGCGGGCCAGGGAUGACCUCCUCUCUUACCCAAUAGCUGCCCCCCCAAUCACCCCCUCCUCCCAAAGGGCUUUUUCCUUGGCUGCAGGUGGACCAUCCAGAGAGGCAAAGGGCCCGUGUGUCAUUCUUCCCCGUCUCUGAUCCUCAUUCUCUCCCUUUGGAUCCCCUGUCCGCUUUCUCAGUUAAUGGCACCGUACACUGAACUCCACCUGUACAGCAGGCAUGCCGCCAGGUGCUUUUACAUAUUAUCUCAACUAACCAUCCCCACCACCCCGUGAGGUCGCUGUUGUCGCCCCACUUUGCAGGGAGAAGGCUGAGGCCCAGAGGAAUCCAAAACACCCAGUGAGGGGGGCUCAGAGUAGGGGUUCAAGCCUGGGCUCAGGCAUAGCCUUAGUUAGGCUUUGUCCUGGGGCUCACUCUGCUGUUCUCCCAGACUCGGUCUUGGUGGGAGCAGAGCUGUGGCCCUGGGCUGUGGGAGGGGGUGCAUUGGAGGAAGAGAGAACACCAGAGGCGGGGUUUUGGAUCUGGGUGAGGGCCGAGGAUCCCGGCCCCUCCCAGGAUCUGGCCCCCUCCCUCGCUGCAGAACCUUCAGUGGCUCCCUCCUGGCACUCCGGGGCAAGCUCAAAGUCCUCUCUGGCUGGCGAGGGGCCACCAUCAGCUCCACCCACCUCCCCCUACCUGGCAAACAUUUGCUUUCCCACCACUGCAGCCAAAGGGUAAGAAUUAAAAAGGCCCGGCCCAGAGCUAAAUGCCUUGCCGAUUUCAGUUCACUGGGUCUGCAUAAUGUCCCCGCAGACCAAGUUUUCUGGUGCUCUCUGUACAAAUGCGGAAACAGCUCAGAGGCGGCAGCCGUUGCUCAAGGCCACACAGCGGGCUGAGAACAAACAUGAGGGGGAGGAAAUCAGACCCCUCAUCUGACUCCACCGUGCCUUUCAAUUCAAUUGGGUUCGAUAGAUUGGACUUUAUGGCGUGUCAUUGUGCCAAAUCCCACCCCAGUGGCUGGGAAUAGAGACAGUACUAGGGGAACGGGCACGCGCGGGCACGCAGGAGAUUCCAGCGCUGCUUCCCCCAGGUCCUCCCUGCCUUUCCUCCGCUGGAUGGGGAGGGGAGGCAGACGGGGAGGAGGGGGGAGGUGCUGAAUUGCUCACCUCCCAGUCCUAAAACCUUCGCACCUGUGACUUAGACGCCCAGAUGGUCCCUUUCAAGGGCUGAGUCCUAUUUCUCUUUAAAAGAGGGAGAGGGUAGGGAAGAGCCAAACACAUUUUGUUCUGCUGUCUCAAAAUGUCAUCUGGGGACAAUUUGUCUCUUUCCCUCCCUAUGUCUGUCCUGCUGCUCCCUACCCCCACCCCAGGCUGGUCCUGAGAGCAGAGAGAGCAUCACCUCUACCCCGUCUUUCCCCGCUCCAUCACCCCACUGAGCUUUCCAAAAUCCCCAUGUCCAGCGCUGAGUCACCAGGCUGGGGAUGGGUGUGACACAGGAGAGAGUUUUUUCUCUGUAACAGUCAGGGGGUUGGGAGAGAAGCCAGGGGUCCUCAGCGAGCUCCAGACUCAGAUCUGAUCCACUUUACUCGUUCCUACUUUUGCUGAGAAGGUCAGCGUGUUCUUUGAUUAGAAAUUUCCUGAGACUGAGACCUUGUCUGUCUGGUUCGGAGGUUUACAGGCCUUUUAAAUAAAACCACUUUUGGCCCUUGAUGCACUUAAUUUGGGAGGCCCCGUCCAAAUCACAUGAAACAUAUUAAAAUGCACUCUAAUUCCACAUUGAAUGUCAUUUUAUGAUUCUUUAUUUUUUUUGGCUGCACCUGCGGCAUGCGGAAGUUCCAGGGCAGGCCAGGGAUUGAAUCUGCCCCUCAGCAGUGACCUGACCACAGCAGUGACAACGCUGGAUCCUUUAACCACUGAACCAGUCACCAGGGAACUCCCACGUUAUGGUCCCAGAUACUUUGCCUAUGUAGCUGUACAAGGGCUCCUUAAACACUGUUGAAGAGGGAGUUUCCUGGUAGCUCAGCAGGUUAAGGAUCUGGCAUUGUCACUGCUGUGGCUAGGGUCACUGCUGGGCUUCGGGUUGCAUCCCUGGCUCCGGGACUUCUGCAUGCUGCAGGUGGGGCGGAAAAAUAAAAACAAAACAAACCAUCGCAUAUGUUCAUGAAAGUUUCAAACAGUACCCAGGGAUCCCCCGGUGUGGUUCCCCAGUGCCAGUGUUGUCUGAUUCCAGUGUUAAUACAGAGAAGUCACCACUGUGGGAAUGGAGAGGAGCUGGAUCCUGAAGUGGACGUGUCUGGACUUGGUGAGUAGUGCUUCUGUGGGGUGGGCAGCUGCGAAGGAAUCUAGUUUCCUUAUCUGGAAUCUGGAUGGGAUAUCCUGCCUAGGUGCUAGGCGGUGUAUCCCAGACAGGAAGUGAGGAGUAGGAGGGAUGUGAGAGAAGAGAUCCUGGAGCUUGAGGAUGAGGCGGGAAGGAGGGAGAUGAACUCAAGGCAGCUGGGGGCUGGGGGGAGAAAGAGCGCUUUGUAACACGAACCAAUCUGGGUGAUGUGGUUCCAUCUGCCUCAAAUAUUGCUUGACACUUUGUUAUACACCAGGCAGUGUACUGGUUAAUAAAACAGUUUGGGGAUGGGUAUUGUUAUCCUCAUCUUACAUGUAAAGAAAGGGUGAUACAGAGAAGUGAAACAGCUUGUACAAAAUCAGAAAAUCAGAGACCAAAAUUCAAACCUGGGUCUAACUGCUAUGCUGAUGCUCUUAAGAACCUAAACAGAUGCUCAGAUGAGGGAACAAAGUCUCUGCCUCAGUCCCUGAGUUUUUACAUAUUUCCAAUGAGUCCUUUAAGUAAAAUAUUCUCCCUGCAAGUACUUUGUGAGGCAAUGCAGUUGAGUAAUAGAAUCUGGGGGCCUGGUUCACUUUGUAAAUACCAAUUCUUUCAUCCUCUUCCCCUACCGGGGUCCAGUCAAAUGAGCACUAAUACAGACAGUUGGUUACCCACCCCAUGGCCCUUCCACUCCCCUUCUCUCAGCACCCACCUAGGUUGCUUUUAAGUGUUCAUGCUUAUCCUUCUGGGACCAGGGUUAGUACUGUGGCAUUAAUAGUGACAUUACCCCCCUUGCUUGGGAUAGAUUCAAGCAUGUGAUGCGACUCAAUUCUGGCCAAUGAGCAGUGAAGAAUAGAUUCCUAUUCGUUUAUAGGGGGCUUCUGAGAAAAACUUUCCUUGAUCUUAAAAUGGGACACAAUGAUGAGAUGUUUUCUGGGGUUUUAUUUAUUUAUUUAUUUAUUUAUUUAUUUGCUGCUGUGCGCAUUGUGUGGUGAUGUGAUGUCUGGGGUGGGCGCAACCAUCUUGCAACUGUGAGGCAAGCUAGCCAAGGACGAGGCGACGUGCUGAGAAUGGCAGAAGGGAAGGAAAAGAGGAAGUCUGGGUCACUCAUGAUGAUGCUGAGCUGCAGGAUUAACCUCUUCUGAAGCUAUUGUUCCUCUGGACUUCUUGUUCUCUGAGAUAAGACACUUUCCUUAUUGUCUAAGCCACCUGAAAGAAGUUCUCUGUUUCUGGCCACUGAAAAGACCUUUACCGAUGUAUGAGCCACGGGUUCAAAAGAAUGUACACCCAAUGUGCUAAUGUGAUAUGCCGACAGUUGGAACAACAGCAUUGGUUAAAGGGGAAAACCGGAUUCCUUGACCAAGGGAGGCACUGAAAAGUCCUUUCUCUGCUGGUUCAGUGGGGAGAGAGUGUGGCAGUCUGAGGCCCUGCACUCUGCAUCUCGUCCACGCAUGUGGGAGGCCUCCUAUCAGAGGAGAGGUCUGCUCCUGGCCAGCCGAACUUCUGACUCCCAUUUCCUGUAGGGUCAGCAGAGGAAAGCAGCUUUAUUUACUGAGUCAGGAUGGAAAACAGAUGUCUAAGCACCCCGCUGGGCCCGGGCUCACCCUGGACAGAGGCCGGGCCUGUUCUCAGCCCUGACCCGCCCACCAACCUCUUGUUCCCCAUAUCGAGUCCAGAUGUGGCUUCUUCCAAGCUCUAAUAAUAAUUUUGAUUUGUUGCAGCUAAAUAAACUACACCCCUCCCAGCUCAACCCUUCACUCGCUAACUCUCCAAGGAGUAUGGGAGCAAUGCUAUGAAACAUUUGUUAAGGAACCCCGGGUGGGGCAGAGAGGAAUGUGAAUUUGAGAAGCAGAGCAAUGUGGGUUCAGCCGCAGCCUGGUCUCAUAUUAACUGAGUGAUUUCAACCCUUGUAUCAGUCAUCAAUUGCUGUGUAACAAGCCACCACAAAAGUCAGUGGCUCAAAACCAGCAACUGUUCAUUUGCUCAUGGAUCUAAAGUUUGGGUGGGGCUUGGUGGGACAGCUCAUUCAUUCUCCACAUUGUGUUGUGUUUGGUAAGUGAAGUCAGAUGGGUCAAUGGAGCACAGGUGUGAGCAGAGGUCAGCAUUACCUCUGGGCCCAGCCAGCUCAUUGCUUUCCUGUUCCCAUAGAGAUAGUUCUUUUUCUUCUCAGUCCUUCCUUCCUCAUCAGUAAACUGAAGGCAGAGAAUGUCUGUAGAAUGUGUGCAUAGCAAGAGAAGCUGGAGUUCCUGUCGUGGCUCAGGGGCUAACGAAUCUGACUAGGAACCAUGAGGUUGCAGGCUCCAUCCCUGGCCUUGUUCAGUGGGUUAAGGACCUGGCAUUGCCGUGAGCUGUGGUGUAGGUUGCAGACGCAGCUCGGAUCCCACGUUGCUGUGGCUCUGGGGUGGGCUGGCGGCUAAAACUCCAAUUAGACCCCUAGCCUGGGAACCUCCAUAUGCUGCGGGAGCGGCCCAAGAAACGGCAAAAAGACCAAAAAAAAAAAAAAAA